AUACAGAGGGUGCGAGCGUUAAUCGGAAUUACUGGGCGUAAAGCGCGCGUAGGCGGCUUUGUAAGUCGGAUGUGAAAGCCCUGGGCUUAACCUGGGAAUGGCAUUCGAUACUGCAGAGCUAGAGUAUGGUAGAGGGAAGUGGAAUUUCCGGUGUAGCGGUGAAAUGCGUAGAUAUCGGAAGGAACACCAGUGGCGAAGGCGACUUCCUGGGCCAAUACUGACGCUGAGGUGCGAAAGCGUGGGGAGCAAACAGGAUUAGAAACCCCAGUAGUCC
rnacentral:rRNA from 1 species